AUACAUGCAAGUGGGACGCAAGGGAACACACUGUGCUUGCACACCGUGUUUUCUUGAGUCGCGAACGGGUGAGUAACGCGUAGGUAACCUGCCUAUUAGCGGGGGAUAACUAUUGGAAACGAUAGCUAAUACCGCAUAAUAUUAAUUAUUGCAUGAUAAUUGAUUGAAAGAUGCAAGCGCAUCACUAGUAGAUGGACCUGCGUUGUAUUAGCUAGUUGGUAAGGUAAGAGCUUACCAAGGCGACGAUACAUAGCCGACCUGAGAGGGUGAUCGGCCACACUGGGACUGAGACACGGCCCAGACUCCUACGGGAGGCAGCAGUAGGGAAUCUUCGGCAAUGGACGAAAGUCUGACCGAGCAACGCCGCGUGAGUGAAGAAGGUUUUCGGAUCGUAAAGCUCUGUUGUAAGUCAAGAACGUGUGUGAGAGUGGAAAGUUCACACAGUGACGGAGCUACCAGAAAGG
rnacentral:rRNA from 1 species